UUUGUUUUUAUCAUUGUUUGACUGCAAAAGAAAUAUUCAAGUUAAUCAGCAUAGUUUAUAUUUAUGUUGUUGCAGCAACAAAUGAAAUAAAUAUAAUUUCUAACAUAAUAAAAUAAAAAAAAUCAAAAAUUUAAGACAUCUUUGGUAUUAUUUCUGAAUUUGUAUUUUUUAAGAAUAAAAAUAAAAAUGAAAAAUAUAUUUUACAGUAUUUCGAAUUUGAAUAUAUUUUUUAUAUCAUGUAUUUUAAAAAUAAAAAAAAUAAUUUACAUUCGGUAGACACAAUUAAAAAUAAUAAAAAGAGAGAAUAUACAUUCGGUAAGACUGAACUGCUUGUUCAAAAGAAGGGGCUGCAGUAAGAAAAACACAUCAUGUACUAAUUAUAAAACAUGUAGAACUACUGUAUUUUACCAGUCACAAAACCUUUUUUUCUUAAGAGGUAAUGUCCCAUGGCAACUAUAAAUAUGGGAAAAAAAUUACCACAAAGUAUAACAACCCCAUCUUUUUCUCCAAACAAAUACAACCAUUUUAGUUCAUAUCUAAGCUAAGAACCAUUCUACUUUCAGGUUUCGACCAACGAAAUAACCAUAGUAUAAAAAUAAUUAUACUCUAAUCCAAACAUGGCUUCAGAAUUUACGAUUCAUACCAGACUCAAUUGGCCAAACCUAUGGAAUUGGAAUGAUGCAUUUAUUUAACUCAAAAGGUAAAUAUUAGGCUUAAGGUUCUUACAUAUUAAAACAAUAAUAAUUCAUUCAUUUUGAACAUGAGAUGCAACUUGGACUAUUUCAAGUUAUUCCAAAAGAAAGCAUUAAAAGGAAUUUGUUCAUCCUACGUGGUAUAAGUAGCAUACUUCAGUUAGUAUUAUACAUCAUCAGUUAAAUCAUUUGGACUAUUAACAUUGAUAACAACAAUAAUAAAAUAAACAUAUGUAGUUAUAAAAUAAAUAGAUAAAUUCAACUUCGGAUAAAUUUGGGUUGUUACAGUAACCCUCCAAGCCACCACUGUAUUAUAACCAAUAGACAUUUGAAUUAUAACAGAUAGAAAAGAAUAAAAUAAAAUAAAAUGAGUUAAAAAAGCUGAUAUAAUGAACCUUGCGGUCAAAUGUUAGAUCUGACUACUUCGAACGAACUAAAGGCCAACAAUGAAAAUUUCACAUAAAAGCAACCAGAAUACCAGCAAAAUAGCUUAAAUUAAAAGUUUUCUGACUUGUUCAGGAGAGACAUCAACAAUUUUCAAAACUUUUUACUGGACCUCACCUUUAUAAAUUAUCAAAACUUCUGCCACCAAUCUGACAACAUCACAGAAAAACAAGCAACACCAUAUUUAAUUAAGUUAUAAAAAAGCUUCAAGAUUUGCAUAUUCUGGGAUAUAAUAAGAAACCAAUCAUAGAACAUGUCAUAAGCAAGGGCUCAAGCAGAGGAAAGAUCUUGAAUACCUCAAUGUGAUGAUAAUCAUCAUGAAACAAUAUCAAUAGAUGUGAUCUAGGGACAUAUCUCACAUAAAAACCUUCAAACAAUAUUAAUAUAAGCGAUAGAUCAUAUAAAAUAAAUAACUUCAUAACAAAAGAGUUUACAUUAGGGGUUAGAAAAAAAAAAAAAGGUACUAGGCUAAAGCCUAACCUCUGGUUACCGCACUUUCAUUUGUGUGUAAAGUCUCCCAAAUUCUUUAGUCAUGGCGUAAUAGAUUCUCUUAUAUAUAUAAUGAAUAAUGCUGUUAACAAAAGCCCCUAAACUUAGAAUUACUUCCACUUUUUUAUAUUCUUAAUUCUAAUAAGGCAAGAGUGAGUUUUGGUAUAUCUAAUGGGAUAUAGAAAGGUAUUUACCCCUAUUUUAUCUAGCAACUUCGAAACCUGGUAAGUCUCUCGCAAAACCUGAAUUUAGAUGGAUGGACUUCAAAUGAAAGGAUUUUCUAACAAAAGCUAAAACAUUGCAAUGGCAUAGUGAACAUAGGAAAAUGAAAAUAUAAAGCAAAAGAAAAAGUUCCCAUUGGAUAAGACAAAUACAAAAUGAUCCAAGUUCUUAUUGGCCAUGCCAAUAUUAUUCAUGCUGAAUUAAUCUAAUUUAUUUUUCAAUUAAGGUUAGUAACAAUUUAUCUGUAAAUAACUUAACCAACUUGGUUAUUACAACAUUACUUUUUCAAAGCGUUUUGAGCUCACAAUAUCAAGACAACAAUUUGGUUGUUGGUUAAUUGAGUACCGGAAUAAGUGAUUUUUACCGCAAGAAUGCAAUUGUAAACACCACACAGUAAGUUUUCAAGGCAUCCCAGUAUAUUAACUCAAAAAAUCAAAUUCUCAUUCCCUGUCUAACCCACCAAUUUUCUGCAUAGGCAAUGGAAAUCAGAAUACUUUAUAAUGCAUUCAGUAAUUGAAGUACCUCUGAUUAUUGUUUCCAACAGAAUAGGGUAAAUCAUGUUGGCAAGAAUUCUUGAAAGUUUAUCUAAAUAACUAUCACUUGCUUCUCACAAAACAAACAUCAAGCAUGGCCUGUUGGAACAUUUAUCCUUUUUGGUUUAAGGGUGUUGGGUUAGUUGACUCAAUUUUCCCUUUUUUGGUCACACAACAUCAAUAAAUUGAGCAUCUUGCCAAGGCAGAGAUAAAAAUAAAUAUGAUGAACCCAGCUGGAAGUAUCUAGCAUUCCCCAGUCAACUGAGCCAUUAGAAACUUCAGAAUCCACAACCUAUGUGAUAAGCAUAUGAAUUUAUGUAUCCAUAAGAUAAUCCCAAUAUAUAUACGAGAGAUAAGCAAUAUUACUUCAAAAUAGUCCUCGUCAAGAGGUAUAUCGUCACUGGUGACAAAAUCUGAAUAAUUGUAUACAGCACCAGUAGCAAAGUUCAUGUUAAUAGCAGAACAAGCAACAUCCUGAUUGGAUAGAAACACAUUCAUGGUAGUGAGUAAACAAAUGAGGUUGGGUUGAAGCAAGAGUUGUUUAUAAAAGGACUUUGAAUACUGUGUUACCAAAAGCUAUUAAUGAGGUUAUGAUAGCUUUAAAAGCUCAAAUAAGGCAGUUGUAGAACAGUCUAUGAUGUGACUGUCCUCAUUCAACAAAUUAGCCGAGAAAGAUGAGUUACACGGAAGGUCCAAUGGUUAAGGAUGUGACUUUGCAUGGGUGCUAAAACCAAGAUUUAUUAAGCUUAAAGAUCUGUCUCUAUCACCUAAGCUCCUCUGUAACAAAAUAAAUUAAGCCUAGAGAUCGAUCUUAAUCAGUUAAAGAUGAUCUGCACAGCUGCAGAACAUUUAAGAUACACUGCAACCAUUUUUACUAAUAGUAAAGGAAGUGUCUGUCCAAAAGCACAUAGAAGAGAAGCAUGGCAUUGAUAUGCAGUAUAAAGCUCCACCCCAUCUUAUCUUAUAAUACUACGGAAACAUAAUAAUUGCCAAAAGCGAUUGAACUGCACAGCAGAUUAGUUACACCCCUUAGUUUAUCUUAAACAACAACAUCAAUAUCUGUCAUAACUCUCACUAAUAUUCAUUCUUUUCACAAAUACAAUCACCCAAAAAUCACUCAGCCCAGCAGUUGCAAGUCCUUUGCUAAGAUCAAUCAUUAAUCAGAUAUAAACUUUUAAGAAAAUAUAAAACCUCAACGACAAUGACAACUUACCAGUCGCCUCAUCAUAUGCCUGGACAGCGGGCCCUGGCACCACAAGGCAGUCCCUCACUGCAUCUUAUAAUAGGUAUUCUGCUCAAUCACAAGCUUGCCACUAAAAUCCCCUUUCAUCCAGCUUAGAAGCCACAUGAUCAGUAUCUCCGAGCCUUACUAGAAUAGAAAGAGUGAGAAAAGUAAGGGGGUAGAAAAAAAUGGCUGAAACCCUCAGCUACUUGCUUGCAAAUAUUAGGGCCAGAUCUUACCAGAUCUAAAAUGAUUUUCCAGAUUGCUUACCUCUCGCGAUGCGCACCAAACCGAUCUGCAAAGUUUUGGAGUUGGAAGACAGUUUCAGGGUUAAAACUAGCGGAUGCUUUGGUGCUCUUCUUGGUUUCUUCCACAGCCUUACCAUCACCAGAAUCUGAACGACAAUCUGCAUCUCAUCUCUUCAACAAUCUGCAUUCCCAACUAUUUGGAUUGUGAUCGACGGUUUCACGGUUCACGUGCCAGCGGAUUCGGGUUCGGAUUUGGUGAAUCUUGGCUUAAAAUUUAGGAGAUUUGAGACAGAAAUUCACAUUUGGGAAUGAACAUUAAGGGCGGACAGGGCGGUGCUUUUUAUUUUGAUUUUUUUUCUUCUACAGUGACG
rnacentral:lncRNA from 1 species